GCCCUGAUAGCUUAUUUAAAAGCAUUGGUCUUGUAAACCAAAGACUGCAAAUUAACCCCUGCUCAGGACU
rnacentral:tRNA from 1 species